GCUCCUAGUACGAGAGGACCGGAGUGGACGCAUCACUGGUGUUCGGGUUGUCAUGCCAAUGGCACUGCCCGGUAGCUAAAUGCGGAAGAGAUAAGUGCUGAAAGCAUCUAAGCACGAAACUUGCCCCGAGAUGAGUUCUCCCUGACUCCUUGAGAGUCCUGAAGGAACGUUGAAGACGACGACGUUGAUAGGCCGGGUGUGUAAGCGCAGCGAUGCGUUGAGCUAACCGGUACUAAUGAACCGUGAGGCUUAACCUUACAACGCCGAAG
rnacentral:rRNA from 2 species